AUCAACCUGGGCGGGAAGCUUUGGAGCAACGUGGUUCGUGAACUGGCGAACUCGGGUUAGAGCAAAGAUCAGGUCCUUUGCAGUUCUGUAGAG
rnacentral:ribozyme from 1 species